rnacentral:rRNA from 1 species
GACAGAGGUGCCGAGCGUUAGGCGGAAUCACUGGGCUUAAAGCGUGUGUAGGCGGAUCGGUAAGUGCCUUGUGAAAUCCCACGGCUCAACCGUGGAACUGCUUGGCAUACUGGCGGUCUUGAGCCACUUAGGGGCUACCGGAACAAAUGGUGGAGCGGUGAAAUGCGUAGAUAUCAUUUGGAACGCCAAUGGUGAAAACAGGUAGCUGGGAGUGUGCUGACGCUGAGACACGAAAGCCAGGGGAGCGAACGGG